rnacentral:misc_RNA from 1 species
AUGACAGAUUGAGGAGGCCCAUAUGACGUCCAUGUUGUUGAUCUGGCACAUGUCAAUGUGAACGUCGGAGGAUGAAAAUCAACACUGACAACUUUUUUAUUGGGGAUAUGAAGACGUAAAAUGUGCAAAUAGAUAUUGCACCUGGAAAUUAGUGCCAUACGUGCCCCAAACGCGCAAGUCCUGAGCUACGCCCCUGGAUAUUCUGGUUACAGACUCGCCAUCCGCGAGGAUAAACUGUAAACAUGGCGGAGAAAACUGCACCUCAGAUAAAAAUCGGUCAUUAUAUUCUGGGAGAUACGCUCGGCGUUGGAACCUUUGGGAAAGUUAAAAUUGCAACCCACCAUGUAACCAAUCACAAAGUGGCUGUUAAGAUUUUGAAUCGUCAAAAGAUCAAGAAUCUUGAUGUUGUUGGCAAGAUCAAGCGAGAAAUUCAGAAUCUUAAACUAUUCAGACAUCCUCAUAUAAUCAAACUAUACCAGGUGAUGAGCACACCCACAGACAUUUUUAUGGUGAUGGAGUAUGUGGCCGGAGGAGAAUUGUUCGAUUACAUUGUUAAACAUGGCAAGUUAAAGGAGCCAGAAGCGAGGCGGUUUUUCCAGCAGAUCAUAUCUGGCGUUGACUACUGCCAUCGACAUAUGGUAGUCCACAGGGAUCUAAAACCAGAGAACCUGCUGCUCGACAGUACCCUCAAUGUCAAAAUAGCUGACUUUGGGCUCUCCAACAUGAUGUAUGACGGCGAGUUCCUCAGAACCAGCUGUGGCUCACCAAAUUACGCAGCUCCAGAAGUCAUCUCGGGAAAAUUGUAUGCGGGGCCUGAAGUUGACAUAUGGAGUUGUGGUGUUAUUUUAUAUGCCCUACUUUGUGGAACUCUGCCUUUUGAUGAUGAGCAUGUACCUACCUUAUUUAGAAAAAUAAAAUCUGGUAUAUUUGCUAUACCUGAGUACCUCAACAAGGAAGUGGUCAGCUUACUCUGUCUCAUGUUACAGGUUGACCCGUUAAAGCGAGCCACAAUCAAAGGUAUCAGGGAACACGAUUGGUUUAAGGACGAUGUACCCAAUUACCUGUUUCCUUCAGAUAAUGACCAAGAUGCCUCCAUUGUAGACUACGACGUCGUGAGGGAAAUAUGUGAGAAAUUCAAUGUGACAGAAAUGGAAGUGAACAGAGCCCUCAUGAGCGGAGAUCGGUACGAUCAGCUCAACAUAGCCUAUCACUUAAUCCUGGAUAAUAACCGAAUAGCUGAUGAAGCUGCUGACUCCGAGAUACAGGACUUUUACCUUGCCUCCAGUCCUCCUGUUGAUUCCUUCCUCAUGGCGAGAUAUGCUCACCUGGGUUUGGGCUCCCCGCCCUCACAGGAUCAAGUUACCAUGGCUACCAGUCCUCUGAAACCACACCCAGAAAGGAUGCCAGAAAUGAAGAGUACUAGUCACACCUUAGAACCAUUGCUGGCGACAACAAACAAAGGACUGACUCCGUCCAAAAAGGCCAAGUGGCAUCUAGGUAUCAGAUCACAGAGUAAGCCUCAGGACAUCAUGCAUGAGGUAUUCCGGGCGAUGAAAACAUUGGACUAUGAGUGGAAGACUGUGAAUCCCUACCACGUCAAAGUUAGGAGGAAGAACCCUGGCUCAUGCAGAUAUAGUAAGAUGAACCUCCAGCUGUACCAGGUGGACCAGAAAAGUUUUCUGCUCGACUUUAAGAGCUUGAAUUUGGUAGAUGUCUCCGAGGGGUCCCUUGGAAACUCCCUGUCCGACUCCAUGGGGCGGAGCAUGUCCGGCUCCCCGCCUUCCUCCCUAUCUGACCUUGAUUACUCCUCAGACAAUGUCUUGUUUAUGCCUGACGAGAGGAUGGAGACAGAUGAUGAGACGCCCCAAUGUCACGUGACUCUUGAAUUCUUUGAGAUGUGUGCGAACCUGAUUACAACAUUAGCACGGUAACCAACGGACAGAAGAUUGGUCUGGCCUAACAUAGUCCGAGACUAUAAGAAACAACCAACAUACAGGAGAUUUACGAGGUCUACCAUAGCCAUAGACCUUAAAUAACAACCAACAAAUUCAGGAAACAACAGAAGACUUAUAAGGCCUACUAUAGCCUGACAGAAACUGUUCUCAUGUUCACUCUUACUCAUCAUCUGCCUGCGGAUGAAACCAUGAAGUCUGGACCUCGUAGUAUUAUUGUGGAAAGAAGCCAUUGUUAUAUUAAAGGUUUUGAUUAGUUUCUAGAUGUAAACUGCAUUGAUGUGUGCAUGCUUAAUAAGAAAAAGGACUUGUUUAUCAAUGCUAUGCACUGUGUUGCAUUUAAAGAACACUAUCAUUAAGCACUCAUUGUAUUGGGAAUAUUUGUAAUGCAGAAUCCUGUGACUAAUUGAUGGAUCUAUGAAAGAGGAUGCCCUAAUAACACCUGUCUUCAGUUUCUGUUCUGGUGUUUUUAGAUAAAACUGUCCUGGAAAUAAGUUAACUUCAGAUAUGUAUAGGCCAGAUCAAAUCUAUCACAGAAACUUAGCUAAGAUAAAUUGUAUAUUGUGGCUUUUAUGUUACGUUUACUUAGCCCUUUCACCACUGUAGACCAUAAAGGACUCAUCCAGAUCAAUGCAUGGUAGAGUCCACUUAAGUUACAUAGGGGUGAAGGGGUUAGAUAGUGCUUUCCGUGACCUUCAGGACAUCUGUGCUGGCAAUUCAUACUGAUGAAGAAUUCAAUAGAUCAGGGGCCCUCGUUGGCAGAGAGGUUAAGGCAUAUGACUGUCAUUGAUCACUAGCCCUCGACCACUGGGUCGCAGGUUCGUGUCCUACUUGGGGCAGUCGCCAGGUACUGACUGCCUGUUGAUGGUUUUUCUCUGGGAACUCAGGCUUUUCUGUCCCUAAAUGUCCAUACUUUUUUAAUAAGAUGUAAAACACAAACAAACCAAACUAAUAUAUCUGUGCUGUAAACUUUUGCUGAUGUCAUAAAAAUACAACUUAUCAGGCCCAAGUUUCAUUAACAUUCCGUAACUUAAGGAAAUUCUUUUUAAAAAACAUUGUGGGGGUUCAAAAUUUAUCUUAAUUAAGUGAUUUAAAUUUUCUUCAGCAAUGCUUUCCAUCGGAAAAGCAUGAAAUAAUGAAUUUCCUCAAAUUAAGUAAAUGUUUAUGAAAUGGAGCUCGAGGUGAGGGCUGUUAAUUUGGACUGUACGGCGAUACAAUUCACUAGAUGUGUGUGCUGUAAGUUUAACUGAUUCAGUGAUGUUCCACACAGUCUAUAGCUAGUCAAUGAUAAACUGAUGUGAGAGUGUUCACGUGUCUCUGUACUGCAGGACACAAGAGCAUGGAAAGUGCUUAUGUUAAUAUUUUUGACACAUGAAAGGUAAAUAUUAUGUAAUGACCAUAAAGAGCCUAUUAUAGACAUAUUUGUAUAUUUUACUAGAUUUGUUGCAGACCUAUUACCUGGUUUUAUUAUUGUGUAUGUUCCUUAAAUAUAUGCAACACAAUGGAAAAAAGUCUAGAUUUUUUGGGGGGAAAAUCUAGGGGGGGAGGAAUGUGACUUAAUUACAUGCCUGAAUUUCGUAUCUAUACCGGUAAUAUAUUUUGUUUGCUUUUGAAUAAACCAGUAACAUACUGGUAAUGGGUUAAGGCCAAAGAUUUGUUUACUUAAAUCAUUCACCCCUGAAGACACAUUUGAACUCUUCCAAUUCAAAGGUUGGAAUAGUUCAUUAUGAAAUUUCAGGGGUGAAUGAGUUAAUAUUCUGUGUUUAGAAUAGACAACCUCUGUAAAGAAAUGUUAAAAAAAACAUAGAUUAGUACAGUAGUUUAAUAUCUGUGUCAAUAGUUAAAUGGGAAGGAUAUAUAUGUUUUGUGAAUUAUAUAAUUUUUGUUUUAAGACUAUUUAGGGCGAGCAAAUAUUUGUGUUGUUUUUUCGAGCUGUUAUUGUUGCUCUAGAACUACAUCAUGGAGUGUUGUUAUGGUAGCCGUGUCUGUGAUAGAAGUAUUGUGAUGAUGUUACGGACAUGGUAGUCUGAGUCAUUGAAAGGUUUUAUCUUGUGAACGAAGCCCUCUGAGUCAUUGAAAGGUUUUAUCUUGUGAACGAAGCCCUCUUGAGUCAUUAAAAGGUUUUAUCUUGUGAAUGAAGCCCUCUGAGUCAUUGAAAGGUUUUAUCCUGUGGUCGAAGCCCUCUGAGUCAUUGAAAGGUUUUAUCUUGUGAUCGAAGCCUUCUGAGUCAUUGAAAGGUUUUAUCUUGUGAUCGAAGCCCUCUGAGUCAUUGAAAGGUUUUAUCUUGUGAACGAAGCCCUCUGAGUCAUUGAAAAGUUUUAUCUUGUGAACUAAGCCCUCUGAGUCAUUGAAAGGUUUUAUCUUGUGAACGAAGCCCUUAUCUUGUGAACGAAGCCCUCUGAGUCAUUGAAAGGUUUUAUCCUGUGAUCGAAGCCCUCUGAGUCAUUGAAAGGUUUUAUCAUGUGAACGAAGCCCUCUGAGUCAUUGAAAGGUUUUAUCUUGUGAACGAAGCCCUCUGAGUCAUUGAAAGGUUUUGUCUUGUGAACAAAGCCCUCUGAGUCAUUGAAAGGUUUUAUCUUGUGAACGAAGCCCUCUGAGUCAUUGAAAAGUUUUAUCUUGUGAUCGAAGCCCUCUGAGUCAUUGAAAGGUUUUAUCUUGUGAACGAAGCCCUCUGAGUCAUUGAAAGGCUUUAUCCUGUGAUCGAAGCCCUCUUGAGUCAUUGAAAGGUUUAUCCUGUGAACCAACCCCUCUUAUUUUUUGAGACAAGAAACAAUACUUACCUCAUCAGAAAACUUGAUGGUAUUAGCAGAUUUGAGGAAAUUACGGAUAUAGUAGUUAAUUAUUUUUCAUGCACGCUUAAUUGUACAGAACCUUUCAGUGCCUAUUGGUAACUACAGUAUUUCGUGUUUCUCUCAGAAAACAAAUCAUGUUCACAUGGUUCAUUAAAUCAUUCACCCCUGAUGACACAUUUGAACUCUUCCAAUUCAAAGGUUGGAAUAGUCCAUCAUGCAGUUUCAGGGGUGAAUGAGUUAAUUUCCCCUCAAUACUGAAUUAACUUUUAAGUAUCAUGUGACAUGUAAGUGACCCACAUUGCGACCCACAUUGCAGUAUACCGGUAUUACAUAAAAAGUGAACAAGUGAAAAUUAAAUGUGUUAAUAAAAGUGAUCACAACUUUUAAGUUGGGCUUUCGUUGUGACUGUUUGCUGUGGGCUAAUUAGAUGAGGACGGGGUAUACGUAUAUAAUGUGUGUUUUGUGGUGUCACAAUCUUGUAUAUAUAGUAAUGGAGGGGAGUGGGGGAGGGCUGUGCUAUAUAAUGGGUACAGUGCUCAUGCAAUUAACUCAUCCACCCUUGAAGACAAAUUUGAACUCUUCCAAAUCAUAAAAUGGAAUAGUUCAUUAUGAAAUUUCAGGGGUGAAUGAUUUAAGCUGAUAACAUAACAAAAUCCAUAUAUAUAUAUAUAUAUGUUUGGAAAGAUGGUCAGUUUGAUUUCAACACCUGAGCGUUUUUGUAUGCCCGGCCACGUGGAAGGUUGUAUAAAGUGUUCAUAUAUAUACAUAUGAUAUAAAUAUAUUUACAUUUAAUAGUUCGGAGGGUCCUGGGUUCGAACCUGGUCUGGAUGUUGCAUUUCUCUUUCUCCUGUUACAAAUUUAAUGGUUCCGGACCAGGAUUGGAACUCUGGACUUCUGAUCAAAUACUGUUGCUCUCACUAAACGAGUUUCCUGGUCAAUAGUAGUAAAGUGACCCAGUCUCUCUUCAGUUAUAUUCAAACAGGAGGGGAGGCUACUCUGUACAGUGGAAUUUAAUUCUCUGGUGUUAAACUGACAAGGGGAUAGAGAUCCUUAAAUAGAACCACUUUUUGGGGGAAUAACAUUUUGAUUUCAUUGGAGAAAUUUGGUUUUUUGUACACAAUGCAAGAUUAAUGAGGAUACAUGAUAGGGACUGCUUUUAAUGUAUAUAUGUACCAAUGACUUACUCAGAUUGUGUGUGCUAAUCAGCUAUAGUACUUAAAAAUGAAAGAAUUUGAAUUCUGCACUUAUUCAAUAUACUUGUACUUUCAUAAUCAUGAUACCUGAAAAAUUAUAUAUCUUAUUCUGAAAACUGUUUGGAAAGAGAAUGUCCUGGUUUGAACUGUGUGGCUAGCAAGGAAAUAUAAAUGAUAUACAUUUCGUUUCAGUGUUAAUUGUGAGAAAUGAUAGAACUGGAAGAAUGAAGCAUGAACAUUGUUUUAUGAAUUGUAUGAUGGCAGCUUAAGUUGGCAUUCCAACCUAGACGUUUCUGUGAAAUUUUUAGUAGAAAAAGUGAAACUACCACUCAUUGAUCAGAGUUAUCUCCCCUUAAUUAUAAUCUGUUGUGACAGAAAUUCGCUGGUAAUCAUUUAAAAUGGAGCAAUAUGUUAAAAUUAAUGCUUUUACAUCACAAAUGAAGCCCAUUUCCUCAAAAAACGCAGUAUGGACUUAAACAUCUAGGUUGGUGACUGCUGACAAUACUGAAUUUACAAGUUCAUACAGAGUUGGAUGUUCUUGUGAACAAUCUGCCCUCAGGCAGCUAGAUUGUAUAUUCUGUGUGUUUGAAGACUGGUUCACGCAGGGCUGAUUUUCACACAUGUAUUUACCAAUGGUGUAAUCUGAUCCAAAUCAACCAAAUUUGAUUGGUUUUUCGUAAAAUUGUAUCUAACCCCAGGAGUGUUAACUCAUUCAUCCCUGAAAUUUCAUGAUGGACUUCUCCAACUUUUGAAUUGGAAGAGUUCAAAUGUGUCUUGAGGGGUGAAUGAGUUAAACACCCAUGACCUGUAUGAAGUGUUUUGGUUGGUUUGGACGAUGAUCUAUAUAUUGAAUGCUCUUCACACAUGUCUAAGCACAGGGAAAGCAUGUACUCUCUGACCUGUUUAUGUAUCGGUGCAUUAGUAGUUGUACAUGUACUCUCAGACCUGUUUAUGUAUCGGUGCAUUAGUAGUUGUACAGGUACUUGUAUUGUUACGAGGGGUAGAGAAACUAACAUCACCUUUAGUUUGUAUAUGUUGUUAUACCUGCUAUGCGUUACAAGUAUUGAUAGGAUUAAGCUAUUACUGACAAAUUCAUGUAAUUAUAAGUGAUGUGUACAUACGUAAUAAAACCAGAUACAACAGUC